rnacentral:lncRNA from 1 species
CUUUCGCUGGAAGUCCUGACUCCUUCUCAAUGCACAAGGACGCCCUUCUGCUGCCAAAGCUGGCUGGUGGUUCUUUCUGGAAUGGCAGCUUUCCCCAUCCCCCUUCAGGCUUGGGUCGAUCUUCUGGCAGGCAAACGUACUAAAGAGUUACAGGUGGUGCAGAUACGGUUUGGAAGGAAUCCCAGCUGGGCCUCCUCCCAGAAGCCUUCUGAUCACUCACCAGAUAACUCUAGCUGCUUGCAGAGUCCUGGGAAUCUUAGCUUCUCCAGGAAACCAGCUUCAAGGGCAACAAGAGGUUCUGAGGAGCUAGAAUAAUCUCGGAAGCUGAAACUGCUUUGUCCUUUUGCUUCCUUAGGUUGGAAAUAUUUUUGCAAUACCACUGAAUCCUCCAGUUUUUACCCCUUACGAUGGGAAGUGAAUACAGUAUGAAAAGGGAGUGGGACAUAUGAGAGGAACGACAGGCUCAAAAUAUGAAGACUUAAUCCAGACACCUCUGUGUCUCUGAACUUGCGUUGUUUCUUCUUUGGAGGUGAAGUACACAUCGUUUUACUCCGGGCAGAGGACUUGUGCUCCUUUUGAGAACUUUCAGCUCUGUAGUGUCGAGUCUUCUGGUUUCCAGAUCCACAUCCUGCCCUGGGGGAAUUGACAUCCAUCAGCUUCUUCUAGGAAAGCACUCUGAAGCCAAGUUGAAACAUUAUACUCUCAGGCAGUAGUAGAGAUCAACCUCUUAAAACCAAAUCCAUGGGCCCAGGAGUAUGGAAAAGAGUUCAAUAAAAUGGCCUUAACUGGUAUAAGAAGUUACAAUUGUUAAAAGGAGAUUCAGCUGUGAUAGCAAAAGAGAAAGAAAAUGAAAAAGUUGUCCUGGCUCAUCUCUGGAAAGACAUGAUAUUUCAUAACCUCAAGGUGUUUGCUUCUGACCUAUAACUUCAAUUAUAGACCAGGUUAUCCAAAAGUUCUCCUUAUUAACAAGGUAUCUGUUUUUACCAGGUGUCUGUUAUUAAUUAGUUAGUAUAUAAUUUAAUGCAAUUAACCAAAGCACCUCUUAUGCCUAGAACAUAGCAGGUGGUUUACUUCUUUCUUAUGACAUAUUCAAGACUCAUGGUUUUCCCAUUUUUAGAGUCAAAAACAUAAAUUCCUCCUUUUGCUUUCCUGCGCUAACAUAUCCACCUCACACACCUGUUUACUCUUUGUUUGCAGGGAAAUGUGUACAUCUGCUAGGGCGUGAUCUCGAUGAUGAGGUGACAUAUGGGAUGUCAUUCCAUUAUUUAAAGAACAAAUUCCAAAGAUCAAACUUUUCUCCCCACACUUGUGAGUGAUACAUGGGUCUUCUCAGGGACAUUAAAAUGGAGCUAGUCUCACUGAUUUCAUGGACAUUUAGCAUACAAUUAUUGAGUUACCUGCUGAAAUCUCUUCAUACAUAUCUGGUUUCACCCUAGGUUAUGAAUAUCCAUGCAGACUAUUUUUCCAAGCUUCUACGCAACUAACCUUGGCACUUACCCCCAGCUCAGGCAGCAAGCAAAUUAUUCUGGCUUGAUGUCCAUCUGAUGGUUUACUCUUGCUACCUCCUACUCCCUACUAUAACCACAAAUGACCUCCUCCCCACUUGCUCUCAUUCUUACCAGAAGUUUUCAGUUAACAGCUCACUACUAAGCCAGUUUCCUUCUUAAAGUAUAUAUAUCCUUUUAAAAUUUCCAGUCUUGUUACUCUCUCUCUUCCUCUUCAAUUUCUUGUCCUGUUGUCACAAGAUCUCUUCUUAGCUCACCAAAUUAUCUUCUCUUCCCUUUCUCUUUUAUUCCAUUUAUGAACAAGACACCAACUUCUACCACAACAACAGAACAAAACAACCCCUAGCUUCAAAGAGAACAAAAAAACCCCAAAAUAAAUUAAAAAUGGCUUUAAUGCUUAGAGUUGCAGGGACAAGAAAAACCACAUUCUUUUAAAAUGAAAUUAGAUGUCAUAAAGGACUAUGAACUAGUAAGAGUUCCCCGAAGUCCCCUUCCGAAUCUCACAAAAGACUCCAUCUCCUUCUUCAUCUGGCUUUUUGUUAAUAACCAAUGUCCAAUAUAAAUAGAAACAUUGCUUUGUUUUGA